rnacentral:rRNA from 1 species
GAUGAACGCGGCGGCGUGCCUAACACAUGCAAGUCGAACGGAGAUUUAACGCUGAUGAGGCUUCGGCCAAGUCUUGUUAAAUCUUAGUGGCGGACGGGUGAGUAACGCGUGGGCAACCUGCCUCGUACUGGGGGAUAACAGUUGGAAACGACUGUUAAUACCGCAUAAGCGCACGGUGUCGCAUGACACAGUGUGAAAAACUCCGGUGGUACGAGAUGGGCCCGCGUCAGAUUAGCCAGUUGGUGGGGUAACGGCCUACCAAAGCAACGAUCUGUAGCCGGACUGAGAGGUCGGACGGCCACAUUGGGACUGAGACACGGCCCAAACUCCUACGGGAGGCAGCAGUGGGGGAUAUUGCACAAUGGGCGAAAGCCUGAUGCAGCGACGCCGCGUGAGUGAAGAAGUAUUUCGGUAUGUAAAGCUCUAUCAGCAGGGAAGAAAGACUCGAAAGAGAGAUGACGUAC